rnacentral:lncRNA from 1 species
UGUAAUUCAAAUAAUAUUUUAAACAUUAAUACUACAACCCAAGAAAAUCUUGAAAGACUGUAAGUACUUGUAGCAACUUAAGUAGAUUCUAGUCACUGUUCGAAAUAAGUAGGCAGCAUUUACUUAAUUCAUUAUAUUUAACGAAUAAGUACUACUAUGUAAUAUUUGCUAGAGAAACUGAAAAAUAUGCUGGUUACAAGUCGGUUGCUUACUUAAUCAAAUAGUCCUAUGUGCUAGUAAGAGAAUGAAUGAAUUAACUAAUUAAUACAAUAAAAUACUAGUUAGUAUUACUAAUUAGUUUUUAGAAUUAAAUGUUUAGCCAGCUUGCCAUAUCUUGAGCGUGUGUGUGUGAAGGUGGGAGAGGCUGUUGCGCGCGCGUGUCCUCGUCUAUUUUUCCUGUGGGAAUUAAUGCCAUUUCACGUGGGUAUUAUUAGAGGUGGCCGUUACUAAACUUAGCUUCAUUCUCUAAGUUAUUCAUUCUCUAAGUUUGUCCAUGAGUGGACAAAAAAGAAAUGGCAACAAAUAACCAGACCGAUUAGGAAAAUGCCAAAAUAAGAAGGAAAAUAGCAUUGUAAACGAUGAGACGGAGACGUCUGAGAGCGAUGACUUCCGUGGCCGGGAGCAAGAUCGUUUCCUUGCCGUGGAAAAAUAGUCAGGAAGGGGAAAAAUGUUGAGGGGUUGGUGUGGGGUAAAGAGAAAGAAAAACUCGAUCUUUGUCUACAAUCAAUGCAGCCCUCCUCCUCCCCCAUGUCGCCGCCAUCUCCCAGGCCAUAAUUUACGAUCCCUCGCUAUUUAUUUGGCUCACACCUCCCGGUAAAGCCCCGUUAAACAACUUCACACCAAAGCAUGCCGUUGAAUCAUGAUGGCAGCUCAUUUUGCAGGGAGGCUUGGUGAGGAGACUCUGUGGAGCCUAGAAUUCAGGGGUCAAGUCCAGGUUUUCCCAGCCCCCAGCAUCCCUCCCGCUCUCCUCCGCUCCAGAGAGAUGGACAGAAUCAGGGAGAGGCGUGAAGGGAUGGGGAGGAGAGGACAUGAGCCUGAAGUGAUAGAUUGACACUUACGAUGAGGAACAGUGGGAACAGAUAUUCAUUUAUGGACGAAAAACAAUUUACUUUUACAUUUCGCAGAAAGCGUGUUUGGCUUCUGCGGGGUUAUUUUUUGUUUGUUGAAAGGUUGUGAUUCUGGAGUCUUGAUUUUACAUGUCAGUUCUGAUGGUAAAUAUUGUGUUUUGCAUAUUUUUAGGGACACAGCAACUUUCAAACAACCAUAAUCAAAUAAUAUAUCUUUAUAUAAAAGAUGGAUGUUUUGAACAUUAACAGAAAUAAAUUUUUUAUAUAACUUAGUAGAAAUUUUAUGAAAGCAAUUUUGGUUAUAACAUUACUAUUUUAAAAUGUAUAACCAUCUCAUUAUAUGUUAGCAUGCAAAGAUUUGGGGUAUGUAAGAUUUUUUUAAAAUGUUUUUGAAAGAAUUCUCUUAUGUUCACCAAGACUCAAUUUUUCUGAUACAAAAUUACAGUGAAAAUGUGAAAUAUUACAAUAUAAAAUAACUGAUUUCUAUUUGAAUAUCUUUAAAAAUGUAAAUUAUUUAUGUGAUGCAAAGCUAGAUUUUCAGCAGCCAUUAGUACAAUUGUGCUGUUCAAAAUUUUGUGAAAACCGUGAUGCUUUUUUCAGGAUUUUCUAUUUAAAAAUAUUUAAUCAAUAAAAAAAUAAAUAAAUGAAAUGAAAUGAAAUGAAAUGAAUGGUAAGACUGCUGAUUUUAAUGAAAAAUGAAAUCCGGGUAUAGGGCAAAAAUGCCAGAAUUAGUAUUCUGGACAAUGCAAUAACUUUUUUAAAUGGUUGCUCUCUGUCUUGAGCAAGCUUUCAAAAUCAUUAAGGAAUUUACAGAACAUGCAGAGCGAAAUCAACAUAAUGCACACAAAUCUACUUUGGCUAAUGUUUAUGAACUUUGCAUAAUAAAAGAAGUAUUCGUUAAGGAUGCAUUUAAGUAAUUGCAUUAAAUUUUAAACCUUAAUAUGUUCCUCUCAGUAUUAAAUUUGUUCACCUUUUAAUAUUGUGUUGAGUUAGUUUAAUUGCUGUAAGUUGAGACUCUGUGCUGC